UUCCCUCCCACUCUUUCCCUCUCACAAAAUUUCCCCAAAUUUUUUUUCCCUCUCAGUCUUUCAGUUAGGGAUUUCAUGAGCUCUCUCCUUCUAAUUCUCACUCUCUCUCACGGUAAUCUCUCUUUCUCCCCUCACUCCUCUUCUCUCUUUUUCCCCUCCAUCGGACCCAUCUGCCACCGCCACACAUUGCACAGCCGCCCUCAGCCACCGAUACUAGCCACUGCCGCCGUCGUCGUCGACCUCCAAUCUCGCCGUUAGGUGCGACUUGGUUUCAGUAUUUGGUCUUUUGGCCUUCAAUCCAGCCACUUUCCCUUAUCCUUUCAGCCAAUUAUAUAUCACACUCAAGCAUUUUACUCCUUCGAUGGCAUUCUGCUUGGAGCGUUUUAUCUCCUUCUCAUAGCUACUUUCCCUGACUCAAUCGGAGCAUGUUUUGGUCACAUUGAUUUCACCUUCUAAUUCAAGGUCGCGCUAGAUAAAUUGGUAAACCAUCAAACACUAUCACUGACUACAACACCAGGUUUAGUGGAAUCACAUGAGUUGCUAAAUGGGGUGACUACAAGCCUUAAGGAUAUUCAGGAAGAUUUUCUAAAGCUGGUUUACAAAGAGACCAUCCUUGUUGGGCAUUCCUUGGAGAAUGACUUGUUAGCAUUAAAGAUCUCUCAUGGUUUGGUGAUAGAUACUGCAGUAUUGUACAAGCACCCCCGUGGUGCAUCUUACAAAACUGCUCUAAGAGUUCUUGCCAAGAAAUUUCUUUCUCAGGAGAUACAGCAGUCAAGCGAUGGUCAUGACAGUAUUGAAGAUGCAAAAGCUACUAUGGAACUAGCACUUUUUAUUUAAAUGCCAAUAGCCAAGUAAUUGACAACAUAUUUGGACCAAUAUUUCCUUAUACCCGCAUUCAGAUGGUUUUUGAUAUGUUUGGAAUCCAUACAUUAUCUAGAGGAAGUCAGCCUUGUAUUCUUCUCUUGCUUUAAAAACACACACACAAACACACAACUAUCAUGUUUAAUUUGGUGCCACUGCUACCAGCUUAGAAGAAUGAUUAUCAACUUAACCUUAUUGUGAGCUCUAUUUUAGUGUUUCUCUGCCUAUGAAUUUCAGCGUCUCUUUUUUAUUUUUAAAUCUUAUUUUGAUUUGUCAGAUUAUGGAAAAUCCAUGACAUGGACAAUGAUUGAGUAUUUUAGGUGAUGAAUCUAGUGAUAGGUUCUGCUAGUGUGGUUGAAUUGGAUCUAGGUCGCAGCUUUUGCCAAUCACCUCUCUCUCUCUCUCUCUCUCUCUGUGUGACCUCUGAAUUUUGGUAUGGAAAGUGUCUGGGUGAAUUUCACUUAUUUCCUCACCACCAAAGUUCAUUUACUGUUUUAGUGGCGAGCAAAUUGAGAGAUGAAGUUCCCCCCCUCUUCUUUUUUUCUUUUUUUAAUAGACUUUAUCUUCAUUUAAAUUUAAGGAGGUUGGAAGGAGAUCAUGGAGUCAUACUAAAACAGUGACCCCUGUUCCAACUUUGCCUUUUACAGACACCCAACAAUUUAGCUCCAGGUUAGAUGUAUAGCGUUAGAUGAAAGCUAUUUUAUUCUUGGUCUCAAGUUUUUAAAUAGUUCUUUGAAUUGUCUAUAUAAUUUUUUUUUGUAAAAAUGCUCUCUAAUUUUAUAAAGAACAUUCUGGUUUGCUUGAUCAGAGUUGGGAUAUAUGUAGUCUGAUUUAAAUCUAACAAGCAUAGGUUAGAGGUUUGUGAUGAUGCCUUCUUAGUUCUUAGUGUCCAUCUAUUAUUUUCUUUGGAAAGUAGAGUAGACACCUAAGCUAUAGGGAUUAGUCUUUUGCGACAAGGACCAAUUAUACUUUUGGAUUCCAACUUCAAUGCUAAGGUAAAAUUUAUUUUAAAAAACAUUGUAGUCUAUGAUUUCCUUUAUAAAAUUCUUGAAUUUGUCUUAUAUAUAUUGCUACUGAACAUUUUAAUUAUCUUCCAUUUAACUCACUGAAGUUCUCUCUCUUUCUCACAUUGUUUGGAAUCAGCUUUCAGAUUUUGGUCUUGCAGUGUCCAGUGGGGCCCAAAACAGGAACAACAUUAAGCUUUCAGGAACUUUGGGUUAUGUAGCCCCAGACUAUCUUUUAGAUGGUAUGCCAAUUAAAUAUAUAAUUUUUUUUUUGCUAACUAUAUAAUAUAAUAAAAUCGUUUUGAUCCUAACAAUUACAAUAAUGUUAUGAGACUGUGAUGAGUGUAAUAUACAUUUUAAAAUCAGUGUCUUUUGAUUAAGCUAUCUUAAGCACAUGCACAUGUACUGCCACUUUAGGGCUGAUCAAUCAUGUUGUGAAUUUCUCCUAGACAAACACUUGUGCCUAAAGUUGGCGCUUGGUAAGGAUAUCAAUGUUCAGUUUUUAUUUCAUGUGGUAGUUUGCAUUAAUAGGUUUCAUAACUACAAAUUUUGAUUGAAGUUCAAUUGAUAUUGAGGGUGGGGCACACUAUGCAAGUGGAAUUUAUUCCCUGGGAAAAUCAGUGCUGUGUAGUUGGAUGUGCAAAGAGCAAUUGUAAGCCAAAGAUUUUUAGGUAUUAAUAUAGAUGAUGUGACAGUGGACUUGUAAGUUUAAUUUGGUUGGAAAAUUGUUUAAUAUGGUUCCCCGCAAACAAGAGUAUGUUUUCAACUUUUGAAAACAAAAUUCAAAGAAAUAGUAACAUGGGAAAAACAAAGGUUGGCAGAGAGAAAAAUUUAGAUACUGGGUCUUUGUCACAAACCACUGGUUAUAUUUUAAUUGGUUCAUUCUUGUAGGUUGAAGUUAGCAUAACAAAAUCAACUUCAAUAAAAGUGAAAACGUUACCCUAAAUUUCAACAAAGUUGGUACCAUCCUCAUUUCUUUGUCCAGUUUUGCAGAUGGGUGUGUUUUGUUUUUUGUAUUGUGUCUUUGUUGGUCCUAAUUGUUUUGCAUAAGAGUUGGAUUUAAGAAUAUGUUGUCUGCACUAUAGAUUAUCAAAAAUAAAAUAAAAUCAUCCAAUAAUAUAUUCUCCAUUUGGUUCAUCCACAAGCAGCCUGCCUAAUUUACUUACUAUUACACACUUGAGUAGCUAUCUAUCUCCUUUUGCUUCAGGUACUCUCUCUUUGGUUAUUAUUAUUUUUUUUGGUGCUUCUUUUUCUAAUGGGUUCUAAGAAAAAAAAUGAAAAGAGUAUUGUGGAUUUUGAGUGAUCUGUCUCUUGCUACCUUUUUUUCAUGUUUGUGUGCUAGUUUGGAUUUGGUUAAUCCACAGGCAACCUGCCUAAUUUACUUACUACUACACACUUCCAGAGCAACUAUCUAUCUCCUCUUGCUUCAGGACGUUCAUUUGGUCCAACAAUCUCCAGCUCUUCAAAAAUCAUCAACUGCAUCCCAUCAACCAAGCUGCUUAUAAGUUUUAUGUUGGUGUUUGAUGACUUUUCGUGUACUUGAACAAUUGCAUUUUUUGGAAGUGUUAAAGGAUAUUUUUAAACACUUUGGAACGUUGAUUGUGGUAUUAGCUUGGAACUUUGACGAUGGUUAUAGACAAUGUUAUGUAUUUGAUAAUAUAUUUUUAUGUUAAUAUAAUGCUAGU